GAACAGAGUCCAGCUCGCGCACGACGCCGCCGCCGCGUCCGAACUUCAUGGGAUCCCUAUCCCGAGUCAACCCCUUCUCCAAGGAAUCAUGUCCUAUAAAUAGCGACGACCCUCCGCUUCCGAUUCCCCUCGAAACCCCUCGCCAAGUCCACCUCUACAACACGUCCUCGCCGUUCCAAUCUGACCGCAGAAGCUAUAGUUCAUCGCUGGAUUCCGACGCCGGUCGUCUUCGCCGGAGCACGUGGAGCACCGAUCUUCGUCACCUCUCCCCGCAGCCGUCUGACGUCCCCAAUACACUCUGCCGCCAGCCCUGGGACCGCAACACUCCGCCUCAUCCCCUAGACUCCACCGCCACGCCGAAGAUCGUCGGAGCCGCUGCCCCACCGAUCGAACCAAAGCCGCCCCAACACCUCAUUCUUUUCUAUCAUCCGGAGUGCAAAGCUUGCUACUACGAAUCCCUAGAGUUUAACGAUCGUCAACAAG